AGAGUUUGAUCAUGGCUCAGGAUGAACGCUGGCGGCGUGCUUAACACAUGCAAGUCGAACGGAGAACCCCUGACGGAGGAUUCGUCCAACUGAUGGGAAUUCUUAGUGGCGGACGGGUGAGUAACGCGUGAGGAACCUGCCUUGGAGUGGGGAAUAACAGUCCGAAAGGACUGCUAAUACCGCAUAAUGCAGUUGGGCCGCAUGGCUCUGACUGCCAAAGAUUUAUCGCUCUGAGAUGGCCUCGCGUCUGAUUAGCUAGUAGGCGGGGUAACGGCCCACCUAGGCGACGAUCCAUAGCCGCGG
rnacentral:rRNA from 1 species